GGGUGCGAUCAUACCAGCACUAAUACACCGGAUCCCAUCAGAACUCCGUAGUUAAGCGUGCUUGGGCGAGAGUAGUACUAGGAUGGGUGACCUCCUGUGAAGUCCUCAUC
rnacentral:rRNA from 1 species